CAGUAGCCGCGGGAAUACGUAGGGUGCAAGCGUUAAUCGGAAUUACUGGGCGUAAAGCGUGCGCAGGCGGUUAUAUAAGUCAGAUGUGAAAUCCCCGGGCUCAACCUGGGAACUGCAUUUGAGACUGUAUGGCUAGAGUGUGUCAGAGGGGGGUAGAAUUCCACGUGUAGCAGUGAAAUGCGUAGAUAUGUGGAGGAAUACCGAUGGCGAAGGCAGCCCCCUGGGAUAACACUGACGCUCAUGCACGAAAGCGUGGGGAGCAAACAGGAUUAGAUACCCGGGUAGUCCCUGUCUCUUAUAC
rnacentral:rRNA from 1 species